GGGAUUGCCUCAGUAACGGCGAGUGAAGCGGCAACAGCUCAAAUUUGAAAUCUGGCCCCUCUCGGGGUCCGAGUUGUAAUUUGUAGAGAGUGUUUCGGGGGAGACCGUGGUCUAAGUCCAUUGGAACAUGGCGUCAUAGAGGGUGAGAAUCCCGUCUGUGACCGCGGAUCGAGCCCAUGUGAAGCCUCUUCGACGAGUCGAGUUGUUUGGGAAUGCAGCUCAAAAUGGGUGGUAAAUUUCAUCUAAAGCUAAAUACUGGCUGGAGACCGAUAGCGCACAAGUAGAGUGAUCGAAAGAUGAAAAGCACUUUGGAAAGAGAGUUAAACAGUACGUGAAAUUGUUGAAAGGGAAGCGCUUGCGACCAGACCUGCCCGUGGGCGAUCAGCCGCUGUUCUCAGCGGUGCACUCGUUCCACGAUCAGGCCAGCAUCGGUUUCGGCGGUCGGAUAAAGGCCUUGGGAAUGUAGCUUCCUUUCGGGGGAGUCUUAUAGCCCUUGGUGCAAUGCGGCCAGCCGGGACCGAGGACCGCGCUUCGGCUAGGAUGCUGGCGUAAUGGUCGUAAGCGACCCGUCUUGAAACACGGACCAAGGAGUCUAACAUCUAUGCGAGUGUUUGGGUGUCAAACCCAUGCGCGGAAUGAAAGUGAACGGAGGUGAGAACCCUUAAGGGCGCAUCAUCGACCGAUCCAGAUGUCUUCGGAUGGAUUUGAGUAUGAGCAUAGCUGUUGGGACCCGAAAGAUGGUGAACUAUGCCUGAAUAGGGUGAAGCCAGAGGAAACUCUGGUGGAGGCUCGCAGCGGUUCUGACGUGCAAAUCGAUCGUCAAAUUUGGGUAUAGGGGCGAAAGACUAAUC
rnacentral:rRNA from 1 species